AUGGGCUCAAGGGUUAUAGUAAACAGGGUUACAUCAGGCUGGCAGCCAGCCACUAGCAGGGUUCCACAGGGCUCCAUUUUAGGGUCCAUUCUCUUUAAUGUUUUCAUAAAUGACUUGGAUGCAAAACUUGAAGGUAUAUUAAGUAAUUUUAUGGAUGACACUAAGUUGGGAGGUGCUGUUGACUCCGUUGAGGGUACACAGGCCUUAAAGAAAGAUCUUGAAACACUAGAGGGCUGGGCAAUCACCAACAAUACAAAGUUUACAAGAGCAAGUGCCAUAUCCUGCACCUGUAACUGGGUAACAUACAGUUACAUACUGGCUGUACAUACAGAUGGGGACGAGAGGCUGAAGAGCAGCCCUGCACAAAGGGAUCUAGGGUUUCUGGUCAAUGCCAAGCUGAAUAUGAAUCAGCAGUGUGCCCCAGCAGCCGAAAGGGCCAACCCUGUCCUGGGGUGCCUCAGGCACGGCAUGGCUAGCCUGGCGAGGGAAGGGAUUCUCCUGCUCUGCUCUGCGCCAGUGAGGCCUCACCUUGAGCACUGUGUGCAGUUUUGGGUGCCACAAAAUACAAAGGACUUAAAACUAUUAGAGAGUCUCCAAAGGAGGGCUACAAAGAUGGUGAAGGGUCUGGAAGGCAAGUUGUAUGACGAGCGGCUGAGGUCCCUGGGUUUGUUCAGCCCAGAGCAGAGCAGGCUGAGCAGAGGCCUCAUGGCGGCCUGCAGNNNNNNNNNNNNNNNNNNNNUGGGACAGGGGAGGGUCAGGCUGGGUGUUAGGGAAAGCUUCUUCACUGAAAGGGUCAGGCACUGGAACAGGCUCCCCAAGGAAACGGUCACUGCACCAGAGUUCAAGAAGUCUUUGGACAACACCCUCAGACAUGUGGCCUUAUUUUUGGGGGCGUCCUGUGUGGAGCCAGGAGUCGGACUCAAUGAUCCUUGCGGGUCCCUUUCAACUCAGGAUAUUCUAUAUUAUUCUAUGAAAUAUUGCUGUGCAUAUUACCUCCAGGCACGAAUAACAGAGUUUAUUUACAGAAAUUAG
rnacentral:lncRNA from 1 species